CCUCUACUUUAACGUGGAGGUACUUGCUGGAUGCUUGAAAAAGUAAGUGCUUCCACGUUUUAGUUGCGG
rfam:Anas platyrhynchos breed Pekin duck contig65676, whole genome shotgun sequence.